GACGAACGCUGGCGGCGUGCCUAAUACAUGCAAGUAGAACGCUGAAGGAGGAGCUUGCUUCUCUGGAUGAGUUGCGAACGGGUGAGUAACGCGUAGGUAACCUGCCUGGUAGCGGGGGAUAACUAUUGGAAACGAUAGCUAAUACCGCAUAAUAGUAGAUGUUGCAUGACAUUUGCUUAAAAGGUGCAAUUGCAUCACUACCAGAUGGACCUGCGUUGUAUUAGCUAGUUGGUGAGGUAACGGCUCACCAAGGCGACGAUACAUAGCCGACCUGAGAGGGUGAUCGGCCACACUGGGACUGAGACACGGCCCAGACUCCUACGGGAGGCAGCAGUAGGGAAUCGUCGGCAAUGGACGGAAGUCUGACCGAGCAACGCCGCGUGAGGGAAGAAGGUUUUCGGAUCGUAAAGCUCGGUUGUAAGAGAAGAACGAGUGUGAGAGUGGAAAGUUCACACUGUGACGGUAUCUUACCAGAAAGGGACGGCUAACUACGUG
rnacentral:rRNA from 1 species